UACAGAGGGUGCAAGCGUUGUUCGGAAUUAUUGGGCGUAAAGCGCGUGUAGGCGGCCCGGUAAGUCCGCUGUGAAAGUCGGGGGCUCAACCCUCGGAUGCCGGUGGAUACUGUCGGGCUAGAGUGCGGGAGAGGCGAGUGGAAUUCCUGGUGUAGCGGUGAAAUGCGCAGAUAUCAGGAGGAACACCAAUUGCGAAGGCAGCUCGCUGGAACGUUACUGACGCUGAGACGCGAAAGCGUGGGGAGCAAACAGG
rnacentral:rRNA from 1 species